rnacentral:rRNA from 1 species
UACGUAGGGUGCAAGCGUUAAUCGGAAUUACUGGGCGUAAAGCGUGCGCAGGCGGUUCGGAAAGAAAGAUGUGAAAUCCCAGAGCUUAACUUUGGAACUGCAUUUUUAACUACCGAGCUAGAGUGUGUCAGAGGGAGGUGGAAUUCCGCGUGUAGCAGUGAAAUGCGUAGAUAUGCGGAGGAACACCGAUGGCGAAGGCAGCCUCCUGGGAUAACACUGACGCUCAUGCACGAAAGCGUUGGGAGCAAACAGGAUUAGAUACCCUGGUAGUCCACGCCCUAAACGAUGUCAACUAGCUGUUGGGGCCUUCGGGCCUUGGUAGCGCAGCUAACGCGUGAAGUUGACCGCCUGGGGAGUACGGUCGCAAGAUUAAAACUCAAA